rnacentral:rRNA from 1 species
UGGGGAAUUUUGGACAAUGGGCGAAAGCCUGAUCCAGCAAUGCCGCGUGUGUGAAGAAGGCCUUCGGGUUGUAAAGCACUUUUGUCCGGAAAGAAAUCCUUGGCUCUAAUACAGUCGGGGGAUGACGGUACCGGAAGAAUAAGCACCGGCUAACUACGUGCCAGCAGCCGCGGUAAUACGUAGGGUGCAAGCGUUAAUCGGAAUUACUGGGCGUAAAGCGUGCGCAGGCGGUUUGCUAAGACCGAUGUGAAAUCCCCGGGCUCAACCUGGGAACUGCAUUGGUGACUGGCAGGCUAGAGUAUGGCAGAGGGGGGUAGAAUUCCACGUGUAGCAGUGAAAUGCGUAGAGAUGUGGAGGAAUACCGAUGGCGAAGGCAGCCCCCUGGGCCAAUACUGACGCUCAUGCACGAAAGCGUGGGGAGCAAACAGGAUUAGAUACCCUGGUAGUCCACGCCCUAAACGAUGUCAACUGGUUGUUGGGAAGGUUCCUUCUCAGUAACGUAGCUAACGCGUGAAGUUGACCGCCUGGGGAGUACGGCCGCAAGGUUGAAACUUAAAGGAAUUGACGGGGU